AGGCUCUCUAGAGUAAUUACAAGAAAAAGAAGGAAGAAGUGCAUUGAAGUCUACUCUCCAACCGUCUUCCUCACAUUCAAGGCUCUCCUCCUGACAGCAAAUCUUCAGCAAAUUCAAGAGGAGUCAAAGAGUUUGAAAAGCCCCUUCCUCCACCUCCAAAAUCUGUUUGAGGGCUUCUAACUCUUCCUUGCUUAUAUUGUUUAAAUACGCUUUUUGAGAAGCUU
rnacentral:lncRNA from 1 species